rnacentral:pre_miRNA from 1 species
GUUUGUAGAUGGUGUUCAGCAGCAAGAACAGGUAUGUUCACCUGUUUGUAGAUGGUGUUCAGCAGCAAGAACAGGUAUGUUCACCU